AGGUGAUGUAGAUGUUGGAAACUCUUAUCUGCACUUGCUCGUUUGUUACUAAUUUGAGUUGCUGGAUACACUUGCUGGAUCCUCUUUGCUGGGCAGGAUGAUAACAAGUAAAGCCUGUCUUCAUGGAAGACAUUGUGACCUACGAAUUCACUUACUUGAAUUCCCUAGAUAUGGUGUAUGUGAAUGAUCAGUUCUUGAUCUGGGAUCCCGAACAUCAGAUUAUG